rnacentral:tmRNA from 1 species
AGGUUUUCCCUGUCCGUUGGGUAGCCCGGAGUAAGAUUAAAGACGGAAUAAGCAUGUAGAGCUUGGGGCGGAUAACUUGCGGACGCCGGUUCGAUUCCGGCCGCCUCCACCA